GCAGAAGAAUUUUGAGUCAGAGAUUUUGCUGGUUUUGGCACGCACUCACACAAAGGUUGCUCACCCCUGCACUAUAUGGAAAAUGG